CAUGUGGGGCAAGCGUUGUUCGGAAUUACUGGGCAUAAAGGGUGCGUAGGCGGCUUGUUAAGUCAGGGGUGAAAGUUUUCGGCCCAACCGGAAAAUUGCCUUUGAUACUGGCGAGCUUGAGUGCGUGAGGGGUAACCGGAACGAGUCGUGUAGCGGUGAAAUGCGUAGAUAUGACUCGGAAGGCCAACGGCGAAGGCAGGUUACUGGUACGCAACUGACGCUGAGGCACGAAAGCGUGGGGAGCAAACAGGAUUAGAUACCCUGGUAGUCCACGCCGUAAACGAUGAGCACUAGGUAGGUGCCGAGCUAUUCGGUGCCUGCCGCAGGUAAUUUGGUAAGUGCUCCGCCUGGGGAGUAUGGUCGCAAGGCUG
rnacentral:rRNA from 1 species